rnacentral:rRNA from 1 species
GAUGAACGCUAGCUACAGGCUUAACACAUGCAAGUCGAGGGGAAACGACAUCGAAAGCUUGCUUUUGAUGGGCGUCGACCGGCGCACGGGUGAGUAACGCGUAUCCAACCUGCCCACCACUUGGGGAUAACCUUGCGAAAGUAAGACUAAUACCCAAUGAUAUCUCUAGAAGACAUCUGAAAGAGAUUAAAGAUUUAUCGGUGAUGGAUGGGGAUGCGUCUGAUUAGCUUGUUGGCGGGGUAACGGCCCACCAAGGCGACGAUCAGUAGGGGUUCUGAGAGGAAGGUCCCCCACAUUGGAACUGAGACACGGUCCAAACUCCUACGGGAGGCAGCAGUGAGGAAUAUUGGUCAAUGGGCGAGAGCCUGAACCAGCCAAGUAGCGUGCAGGAUGACGGCCCUAUGGGUUGUAAACUGCUUUUAUAAGGGAAUAAAGUGAGCCUCGUGAGGCUUUUUGCAUGUACCUUAUGAAUAAGGACCGGCUAAUUCCGUGCCAGCCGCCGCAGUAA